rnacentral:sRNA from 1 species
AGGAGAGUGUUUCUCUUCUUGAGUUCUUUAGCCUC